rnacentral:misc_RNA from 1 species
AGAGUUGGAUUUGCAGGUAAAAGAAAAGGAAGAGGAUGGGAUUCAUAAUGGAAUUUGCGGAGAACUUGGUACUGAGAUUAAUGGAGGACCCAAAGGAACGAGAUCGCAAGUUUCGUGAACAUGUGUAUGCCACUAAGGCCAGGUGCGACAAGACUUUGGAGAUGUGGAGUUAUCCUCUCCGUCCCUAUGGUUUCUGGACCUUUGAUCGCCACAAUGCUCAGAAUUUCUGGGAUCCUCAGAUCAGCCAGGUCCAAGGCCGUCGUGAUCCUUAUGACGACCUCCUUCACCACCACAAAUGAAUCACUUUCAGGGUGAAUGAAUAAUGAGGCAGAAGGCAAAAGGCUAUAGAUGAGGAUAUAGGCGGAAGGGAAAGGCUGUAGAUGAGGAUAUAUAAGCUUCUCAAAGUGCUUGUUAAAGCAUGUUAUCGUUUCUGUUGACCCUAAUAUUCUAUGAAGAAAUAUUAUUGUUGAAAUAAAUUCCAGUAGAAGAAAGGGUUGGUGUUGCUUCGAAGGUGAUCAAUUACUAUUUGCGCCUUCAUUUGUUUGUCUUUAGACAAAAG